rnacentral:sRNA from 1 species
GUUUCAAUUCCUCAUAGGCAGGCUAUCGGCUUCCUUCUCGUCUUCGAGGAAAUCUUGCAUAAGAUCAG